rnacentral:tRNA from 1 species
GUUAUUUUGGCAGAAUAGUGUAAUAAAUUUAGAAUUUAUUUAAAUAAAUUUAAUUUUAUAAGUAAUA